rnacentral:lncRNA from 1 species
AGUUAAUAUAGUUUCUGUACUUUGGCAACUUUCCUGAAUGGUUUGCUGGUUUCAAUUUGUUAAACUCGAUAAAAGUAAAGGAAUAACACCUUUACUUGCUAGAAAUUCUGUUAAAAUUUCCCAUUUUGGCAUUAUACGGCUAAACAAGAUGAACGAAUGAUACCAGAAGGAAAGACAAAGAGACAAAUAAAUGUACAGAAGACACAACAUAGGAAACUAAAGACUAAGCAACACAAACCCCACCAAAAACUGGGGUUGAUCUCAGCUGUUCCGGAAGGGUAAGCAUAUUCUGCUCCAAAUGUGGCACCCGUCGAGUUGCUUAUGUUAUUAAAUAGUUUAAUUUCGUAGAUCACAUUCGUGAAAAGGAAGGGUAUUGUUGUUACCACAAAAGGAACAUAUCCGAUAAAAUUAGCAUUUUAAAGCAGUUUCCAUUUUUAUGUUGAAGAGGCAAAGCUGACUUUUUAUCUGACAGAUGUUUGUUUUGAUAUUUGUGUUUUUAUGCCAUUUGUGAACUCUGAAUGUAGAGAAAAGAAGAUAAUCACAAUAAAAUAUGUGAAAAAUGUAUUGUACUUGUAGCCC